GAAAUGCGAUAACUAAUGUGAAUUGCAGAAUUCAGUGAAUCAUCGAGUCUUUGAACGCACAUUGCGCCCCCUGGUAUUCCGGGGGGCAUGCCUGUCCGAGCGUCAUUACUGCCCUCAAGCCCGGCUUGUGUGUUGGGUCCUCGUCCCCCCCGGGGGACGGGCCCGAAAGGCAGCGGCGGCACCGCGUCCGGUCCUCGAGCGUAUGGGGCUCUGUCACCCGCUCUGUAGGCCCGGCCGGCGCCCGCCCCGUCAACCUCUAUUCUUUCCAGGUUGACCUCGGAUCAGGUAGGGAUACCCGCUGAACUUAAGC
rnacentral:misc_RNA from 1 species